rnacentral:rRNA from 1 species
UACGUAGGGUGCGAGUGUUAAUCGGAAUUACUGGGCGUAAAGCGCGCGCAGGCGGUUUGUUAAGUCAGUUGUGAAAUCACCGGGCUUAACCUGGGAACUGCGUUUGAAACUACAAGGCUAGAGUGUGGCAGAGGGGGGUGGAAUUCCACGUGUAGCAGUGAAAUGCGUAGAGAUGUGGAGGAACACCGAUGGCGAAGGCAGCCCCCUGGGUUAACACUGACGCUCAGGCACGAAAGCGUGGGGAGCAAACAGG